AGGGUGUAAACGCUGCAGACUUGGUGUUGGGAACCCUUCGGGGGUGCUCAGUGCCGGAGAGAAGUUGUUAAGUCUGCUACUUGGGAGUACGUCCGCAAGGAUGAAACUUAAAGGAAUUGGCGGGGGAGCACCGCAACGGGAGGAGCGUGCGGUUUAAUUGGAUUCAACGCCGAAAAACUCACCAGCAGCGACUGUUACAUGAAAGCCGAGAUGAAGACUCUGCUAGAUUUUCAGAGAGGUGGUGCAUGGCGUCAGUGACU
rnacentral:rRNA from 1 species